UCAACUAAAGAGAAGGUACCAUUCGGAUACUCAAGAAAAGAUGUCUUGCUGAUAGGUCUUGGAGUGACCUUACUAGGCUACGGUUUGAAGGGCGGAUUGGAGUUUGUUGGAGUUGAUCCUUUGAAAGCAGGCAAUGCUGUUCAGUUGAUUCUUGUCUUGGGCCUGACAGUUGGGUGGAUUUCCACAUACAUAUUUAGAGUCUCAAAUAAAGAUAUGACUUAUGCUCAGCAGUUAAAAGCCUAUGAGGUCAAAGUCAUGGAG
rnacentral:misc_RNA from 1 species